CAAAGAAUGUGUUUGCAUCUUUGACAAACUGCAAGUCUAUAAUCCCAAGCUCCCUCUGAUGCACUAAACAAAAAGGUCUAGAAGUGCAGAACCUACCUUUUGUGUAGUUUCCAAUUUUACUUCUAUUCUUAUUCUAGGUGUAUACAACUCAUUGUUUUUACUUCUGUAUUUAUGUGUACCUAGUUCUGUCUUUGUGCUGCUGCAACUCCUGAAUUUCCCUUCAGGCUUAUCUUAUCUUUCUUAAUAAGCACGGCCGAGUGGAACUAUGUAGAAACAAGGAACUGAC